AUAAGAAACACAAAGAGUAACUGCUGACGAAGGAGAUGAAGUGUUGGUAAACCCACUUUCCCUCAGAAGAAGGGUCAUAAAGGGUUGAUUGACUCUCCAGAAGGAAGGAAUGCUUCUAAAAAUCUUUUUGAAAAAUUGAAAUAAAAGCAGAAGCUGUUUCAGAAUCUCACACCUCAGAAUGCAUCCUUCAUCCUGAACGCUACAAAAAGAAAGAGGUGAAAAUUCAAGUUGUUUUCCGUAACAAGAACUGAGAAAGAUACCAAGAAAAUUCAGAAGAGAGAUACAACCUCAGUGUGGAUGUUGAUGAAUACAGGCAGAAUUUAUGCGUACCCGAUGCAAUGCCUACAGUUGAUCAUGGGUUCCUGUUCCUUGAGAUCUUUCCUGCUCCUGGAGGAAGUCUGAAUGGUUUCUUCUGCUACUUUGUUGCUAGCUAUUCUGCCUUUUAACCAUUUUUUUCCCCUCGUUGUGCUUAGUACUCACAAGUCCUCAAGCCUUUCAGCCUUUCACUCAUAUUCACAUUUCUGUCUUUGAGCCUUGGUCCUUUGCAUCCUGUUUGCUCCUGCCACCUUUGUCAGAUGGGUCUGGAAAUGACGGAGCUCUAAAAGAGUGGUUUGUCUUUUGUUUUGUUGUGUUUUCUGCAGACUGCUCAAUCAAAUAAGUUACAAAAUACAAGAGAGAAGGACAGCAUUUUCACCAAUGCAAGCAGUCAAUCCAAAAGAUUGCUUAGGGUCCCAAAAAAUUUUUAAGAAGCUUUGAGAAUCGAUAAACAAUUCAUUACUUGGAUUUCAAUGGUAUGUUCCCUGUUUAAGAUCUUCUUUCUGUGCAACUAAUACAAAUAAUUGUAUUAUUAUGGCAAUAAUACAAUUUUAUACAGUAAUACAAUAAUAAAAUUAUGCCAUUUUAUACAAUAAUAAAAUAUUGUGUAAUCAUAUUUGCUUUAUUAUGACAAUAAUACAAAUAAUUGUUUUAUUGCAUUACUGGUAGGAAAAAGAAAUGUAAUUUUGUUGAUAAACUGAACAGAGAGGAAAGAUAGCAAAGAAGUUAGGCUGCUAACCUCGGAUUUGGGAAAUCUGAGUCCAAAUAUUUUUUAGGCUUGAGGUCUUCAUGGGCUUCUGAGUGAAUAAUGGAUUUUAUCUCUCCUUGCACUAUGAAAGGAGUGAGGUGGUUUCCUUUCCUCAUAGAAGUGUUGUAAGAAUGUUGUAAGUGCUCUGUCACUACAUAAGUGCUGCACUGUAAGUGCCUAUACAGAUUUAUUACUCUUAUGCUAAAGACCUAAGAGCAUUCUGGUAGCAUUAAACACACAUAUUCAAUAUCUUUAUUUAACUUAUACUCUUCUCUUUCACACAGUAGUUGUGUUUUCAUAUCCCCCCAUGCAUAAUUACAGAAAUAUUACAAUAUCUGAUGGGAUGGAAAAGGCACAGGUUCCUUCAGCACUAGAAAUGACAUUAGAGUGAUGUAGAUUUAUUUUGGUUUUAAAUAGUACUGUCGAUUCUAUAGCUAAGAAGAAUGUUUUGUAAACAUCAUUCAUAUUCUGUAUGAGUAUACAUUUCACACUUUUGACUUUCCUGAUUUUCUUUCCUCUAAU